ACCCAACAUUUUUGAGUCAGAAAAUGUUAAGAAAGACACAAAUCAUAAAAAUCCAGAAACUUUCGUUUGUGCCUCAAAAGCACUUGUUGAUAUAUUAAAAGAGGAAGAAAAUAAGAGAGAAGUGCAAAAUCGUAAAGAUUAUUGGUUGGCUGAAAAAUUGAUUGUAAAAAUCACUUCCUCUGAAUUUGGGAGUAAAUAUAAAAAUCAGAAGGCUGUUGUAAAUAAAGUAAUAAAUUUAUACAAUGCUGAAAUCGAGGUGGAAGAUGCGGAAAUC